AGUGGUCCUGCAAACGAAUAUUGUUGCAGAAUAAUGGGAGAUUAAGGAGAAAAAGUCUAAGCUUCUCUUCAACUCUUCCCAUCUCUAGAAAGAAGGUGAAUACAGUUAAAGAAGAUAUAUGGAGGAGUGUUAAGUUGAUAAAACCAAUCUUGAGGUAAAAGAUUAAUUAAAUCAGCCAGUAGCAUGUUCCCUACAUAAGUACUAUUGUAGGAUUAUCAACAGAAAGAAGAAGCUUUCUGAGGAUAAAGAACCAGAUUUUUUGAAGAUAAAGAAGAAAAGUCAUCCAGAGAACAAUCAGACUUGUCUGAAGGAAAGGAGACCUGAUACAAGAGUAAACCAACCUGCAGAUCCAAGAUUUAUUAACGUGGAUACUGAGAAACAAGAACCAAACCUGAAGUUCAAGAUAUGUGAAACUUAGAAGAUUGUGAUAAGGCUCACCCCUGACCCCAACUAGAACCUGUACCAGAGCAGAACCUGUCCUGAAAGUAACCUUAGAACCAGAGCCCAGUGUUAACUCUACCUGGAGCUGAACCUGAGAUUAUCCAACCCUGAUUUAUACCUGAAAAUAAACCUCCUCCGGAGUAGAACCUGAACCUGGAGUUAGCUGAAAGCCCUACCUGGAGCUAAACCAGUCAAAACUAAUCCAAGAUCUAAACCAACAUCAGAUCUUAAUAAGGAUUAAUUCUAUAUGAAACUCCUAAGAUGUAAAGAUAUCCAGGAGCUUAGCAAGAUAACCUUGAGCACAGCAAUCCUGAAAUCUUCAAGCUAUUCAAAACCAUUGGAGAAUAAUUUGGCAAAAAUAAGCAAGAUCUAGAAGAGCAUUUAAACACCUCAAAGCUCGCAUCAGAUUUUUCACCGUGUUGAGAGAUGAAAAUAAACUCUAAACCUACAUCUUCUUUCAAAACGUGUGCAUAAAAGAUUCCAAAGAGUGUGUUUUACAAGACCCCUACUUUU
rnacentral:lncRNA from 1 species